UGGAGUCUAAGUUGCUUAGCGCCUUGCUAGAUUGCUGAGGCUGGCCUCAAAGUUGGUAUCUUCCUGCCUCAGCCUCCUGAGCCACUGGGAUCCCAGGUGGCUUCAGUGUCAGUCGCUCCAGUAUCAUGCUAUUGGGCACCUGCUGUGUGCCUAGGGAGCUCAGCCUAUGGGCAGGGUAGUUGGUAAGAGAGACGGUGAGCCGCAAGUAGGCAGAAAGCAGGAGAGACGCUAGCAAGGGCCCGGAGGCGCUUUAUUUGCUUAGAGAUGUGGGUUGGGACUUUUCGGCGGGGGCCUUUGGGGCGGUGAGUUCUGCCCAGGUGGGAGCAACACCCUGUGCUGGUUGCUGGCCUCCUGCACUCUGAUGGCGAUGCUGGCCCUGUCCCAGUCCUGGGAAGGGGGUGCUGCUUCUCCAGCAGGCCUGGAGACAGGUAGGUGUGCACUCUUCCUUGGGGUCAGUCCCACAGCAGCUCCAGGGCGCGGCCCAGCGAGGCCUCGGUGGCCUCGGCCAGGUAUUCACAGCACAGCCAGUCCUCCAGGCCCGGCGCCUCCCCGCCUGCAGCGCGCUCCGCCAGGUGCACCACCAGCAGCGCGCGGCGAACCCGCAGCAGGGCCCCAGCGGUGCCCCCGCGGCCACGCAGCUCAAGCCCCGGCCCCCAGAGCAGUGUCUGCAGCGCACCCCGCGUCUGAGCCGCGGAGGGCCGCCUUCGGGGCAGCUGGGCUACCAGGCGCUCCAGGCCCACGGCCACCGGUGUGGCCGAGGGCGUGGCCGGGCCCAGCAGUGUGCGGAGCAGGCGACCCAUCUGCAGCGCAUGGGCGCCCAGGGAUCCCUGGGGCCGCUGGCAGACGCAGCCAAGUCGGCAAGCAGCAGGCGCGGGGGUCCUGGCCCACAGCCCCGCGGCGCCGCCAGCAGCAGGUUCUCUGGCCGCAGUUCCAGCAGGGUCGCGCCCUGCGCCUCCAGGCGAUCCAGGGCGGCGCUCAGCUGCAGGAACAAGAGGGCCACCUCCCACGCAGACUCAGCAGGCCGCUGUGCGCCGACUUCUGCCAGCCACUGCGCCACUGUACGCUCUGGCACCUCCGCGGCCAGCACCGCGGGACCUCUCCAGGGCGCCAGCGGCAGUGCGCCCUCGGGCACCAAGCCACACAGCCCCUGCAGGUUGAAGUGUGGAGGCAGCGAGGCCUGCAGCUCCACGCCCCAUGGGUGGGGCACGGUCGCUCCCGGCUUGGGCACCUGUGGGUCAGAGGGGGCCAUCAGACCCCGACCACUGCGUCCCCCAACCAGCAC
rnacentral:lncRNA from 1 species